AGUGAACGCUGGCGGUAGGCCUAACACAUGCAAGUCGAACGGCAGCACAGUAAGAGCUUGCUCUUACGGGUGGCGAGUGGCGGACGGGUGAGGAAUACAUCGGAAUCUACUUUUUCGUGGGGGAUAACGUAGGGAAACUUACGCUAAUACCGCAUACGACCUACGGGUGAAGCAGGGGAUCUUCGGACCUUGCGCGAUUGAAUGAGCCGAUGUCGGAUUAGCUUGUUGGCGGGGUAAAGGCCCACCAAGGCGACGAUCCGUAGCUGGUCUGAGAGGAUGAUCAGCCACACUGGAACUGAGACACGGUCCAGACUCCUACGGGAGGCAGCAGUGGGGAAUAUUGGACAAUGGGCGCAAGCCUGAUCCAGCCAUACCGCGUGGGUGAAGAAGGCCUUCGGGUUGUAAGGCCCUUUUGUUGGGAAAGAAAAGCAGCAGGUUAAUACCCCGCUGUUCUGACGGUACCCAAAGAAUAAGCACCGGCUAACUUCGUG
rnacentral:rRNA from 1 species